GGCCUCAGGGUGCAUUUUGCCGUCUGUGUUCUUACAAUGACUGUAUAGAAAAAAAGAGGCAGAGCAUAUGUGCCCCAGCCUGGGAUCUGUGCCUGGUCUGUAAUGUGAAUGGAGACACACAG
rnacentral:snoRNA from 1 species